rnacentral:rRNA from 1 species
CCUACGGGUGGCAGCAGUGGGGAAUAUUGCACAAUGGGGGAAACCCUGAUGCAGCGACGCCGCGUGAGUGAAGAAGGAUUUCGGUACGUAAAGCUCUAUCAGCAGGGAAGAAAAGGACGGUACCUGACUAAGAAGCCCCGGCGAACUACGUGCCAGCAGCCGCGGUAAGACGGAGGGGGCAAGCGUUAUCCGGAUUUACGGGGGGUAAAGGGAGCGGAGACGGCAGCGCAAGUCUGGAGUGAAAUCCCAUGGCUUAACCAUGGAACUGCUUUGGAAACUGUGCAGCUGGAGUGCAGGAGAGGUCAGCGGCAUUCCUCGUGUCGCGGUGACCUGCGUAGAUAUUAGGCGGCACACCCGUGGC